AGUGAACGCUGGCGGCGUGCUUAACACAUGCAAGUCGAACGAGAACGGAUUAUAGCUUGCUAUAAUUGUCAGCUAAGCGGCGCACGGGUGAGUAAUGUAUAGGUAAUAUGCCUCUUACUAAGGGAUAACAAAUGGAAACGUUUGCUAAUACCUUAUACUCCUUAUUAACAGAAGUUAAUAAGGGAAAGAUUUAUCGGCAAAGGAUCGGCCCGCGUUGGAUUAGGUAGUUGGUGGGGUAAUGGCCUACCAAGCCGACGAUCCAUAGCUGGUUUGAGAGGAUGAUCAGCCACACUGGGACUGAGACACGGCCCAGACUCCUACGGGAGGCAGCAGUGGGGAAUAUUGGACAAUGGGGGAAACCCGUGAUCCAGCGACGUCGCGUGGGUGAUGAAGGUCUUCGGAUUGUAAAGCCCUUUUGUAGGGGAAGAUAAUGACGGUACCCUACGAAUAAGCUCCGGCUAACUUCGUGCCAGCAGCCGGGUAAUGUCUAGCAUG
rnacentral:rRNA from 1 species